rnacentral:tRNA from 1 species
GGGGGUAUAACUUAGCGGCUAAAGUAACUGGCUUUUAACCAGUAAAUCAGGGUUCGAUUCCCUGUGCCCCUACCA